UAGUGGCGAACGGGUGAGUAACACGUGGGCAAUCUGCCCUGCACUCUGGGACAAGCCCUGGAAACGGGGUCUAAUACCGGAUACGAGCCUCCNGGGCAUCUGGGAGGUUGGAAAGCUCCGGCGGUGCAGGAUGAGCCCGCGGCCUAUCAGCUUGUUGGUGAGGUAACGGCUCACCAAGGCGACGACGGGUAGCCGGCCUGAGAGGGCGACCGGCCACACUGGGACUGAGACACGGCCCAGACUCCUACGGGAGGCAGCAGUGGGGAAUAUUGCACAAUGGGCGCAAGCCUGAUGCAGCGACGCCGCGUGAGGGAUGACGGCCUUCGGGUUGUAAACCUCUUUCAGCAGGGAAGAAGCGAGAGUGACGGUACCUGCAGAAGAAGCGCCGGCUAACUACGUGCCAGCAGCCGCGGUAAUACGUAGGGCGCAAGCGUUGUCCGGAAUUAUUGGGCGUAAAGAGCUCGUAGGCGGCUUGUCGCGUCGAUUGUGAAAGCCCGGGGCUUAACUCCGGGUCUGCAGUCGAUACGGGCAGGCUAGAGUGUGG
rnacentral:rRNA from 1 species